rnacentral:misc_RNA from 1 species
GAGCGGUGAUGGAUUCGCAUGCCACGGCGGGCUCCCUGCCACUGUGCAGCCAACCGCCGUUGCUGCAGCCCCUUCACCCGUGCUCCAACCACUCGGAGCCUUCCGUGUUGCCUGUACAACAUACCCGGUUCUCGGGCAAAUGACUUCGUCCAACAUGCUCGUCCUCUCCCCUCGCCUUUGUGCGGGCGCGGAGCGGCAAUGUCGGCGGUCCUCGUGCUCCCUCGGACGACGGCACGGCUUUGGCCCCUCGUCUCGUCCCGAUCGGCCCUCGGGGAUUCGCNAGNGCUCGCGGACACGGUAGACAAUGUUGGCUCGGGGCUUUCGUACCCCGCACCACGAUCGGUCGGCUCNCUUCGCCGCCCUCGACGAGACGACCGUCGCGCCCGUCGUCCCCCCACCACUCGCU